rnacentral:rRNA from 1 species
AUUGAACGCUGGCGGCAGGCUUAACACAUGCAAGUCGAGCGGAGCGAGGGUGCUUGCACCUUAGCUUAGCGGCGGACGGGUGAGUAAUGCUUAGGAAUCUGCCUCUUAGUGGGGGACAACAUUCCGAAAGGAAUGCUAAUACCGCAUACGCCCUACGGGGGAAAGCAGGGGAUCUUCGGACCUUGCGCUAAUAGAUGAGCCUAAGGCGGAUUAGCUAGUUGGUGGGGUAAAGGCCUACCAAGGCGACGAUCUGUAGCGGGUCUGAGAGGAUGGUCAGACACACUGGGAACGGGAAACGGCCCAGACUCCUACGGGAGGCAGCAGGGGGGAAUAUUGGACAAUGGGCGGAAGCCUGAUCCAGCCAUGCCGCGUGUGUGAAGAAGGCCUUUUGGUUGUAAAGCACUUUAAGCGAGGAGGAGGCUACUUAGAUUAAUACUCUGGGAUAGUGGACGUUACUCGCAGAAUAAGCACCGGCUAACUCUGUGCCAGCCGCCGCAGUAACAC